CUGCUGCCUCCCGUAGGAGUUUGGGCCGUGUCUCAGUCCCAAUGUGGCCGGUUCACCCUCUCAGGCCGGCUACUGAUCGUUGCCUUGGUAGGCCAUUACCCCACCAACUAGCUAAUCAGACGCGGAACCAUCGUAUACCACCAGAGUUUUUCACACCGCUUCAUGCGAAGCUGUGCGCUUAUGCGGUAUUAGCACCUAUUUCUAAGUGUUAUCCCCCAGUAUACGGCAGGUUUUCCACGCGUUACUCACCCGUCCGCA
rnacentral:rRNA from 1 species